rnacentral:ribozyme from 1 species
AUAUAUACGAAAGAAAGGAAGAAAGAAAGAAAGAGAGAGAGAGUCGGAUAUCUUUUUCGUAGUUCGAUAGUUUUUGUUUUU